rnacentral:rRNA from 1 species
GAUGAACGCUGGCGGCGUGCCUAAUACAUGCAAGUCGAGCGAACGGACGCGAAGCUUGCUUCUCUGAUGUUAGCGGCGGACGGGUGAGUAACACGUGGAUAACCUACUUAUAAGACUGGGAUAACUUCGGGAAACCGGAGCUUAUCCCGGAUGAUAUUUUGCACCGCAGGGUUGCAAAGUGAAAGACGGUCUUGCUGUCACUUCUCGAUGGUUCCGCGCGUGAUUAGCUAGUUGUUACGUUCACCGCUUUCCACGGCAACGAUGCAUAUCCGACCUGGUAGGGGGAUCGGCCGCACUGGAACGUAAACACGGUCCAUACUCCUACGGGACGCCGCAGAAGGGAAUCUUCCGCAAGGGGCGGAAGCCUGGCGGAACAACGCGGCGUGUGUUAUGAAGGUCUUCGGAUCGUAAAACUCGGUUAUUAGGUAAAAACAUAUGUGGAAGUAACUGUGCACAGCGUGACGGUACCUAAUCAGAAAGCCACGGCUAACUACGUG